AUUGAACGCUGGCGGCAGGCCUAACACAUGCAAGUCGAGCGAGCGGCGGACGGGUGAGUAAUGUCUGGGAAACUGCCUGCUGGCGGGGGAUAACUACUGGAAACGGUCGCUAAUACCGCAUACCAUCAGAUGUGCCCAGAUGGGAUUAGCUAGUCGGUGGGGUAACGGCCCACCUAGGCGACGAUCCCUAGCUGGUCUGAGCGGAUGACCAGCCACUCGGGAACUGAGACACGGUCCAGACUCCUACGGGAGGCAGCAGUGGGGAAUAUUGCACAAUGGGCGCAAGCCUGAUGCAGCCAAGCCGCGUGUGUGAAGCAGGCCUUCGGGUUGUAAAGCACUUUCAGCGGGGAGGCGUUACCCGCAGAAGAAGCACCGGCUAACUCCGUGCCAGCAGCCGCGGUAAUAC
rnacentral:rRNA from 1 species